CACCUUCAGGAAAACUCCCUGCUAACGGCCACUUCUGGAAAUUCAAGAUAUAACGGCUUUUCCUGAGUGCCGUUAUGCCUUGGGUACUAUGAUGUUUGCCCAUAGUCUCUCUGAAAUUCAACAAGUCAUCAAGCCAAUUCUCUGGGCCUCACUGUCUUCUUCAUGGAGCUUCUGUGUGGAUAAUUUGGGCUUUGGCGUAGCUUGGCGAUCUCUGUGUGGUUGGAUUUCUUUCCUGUGAGAGAAAAAGUGGCAGUGCACUCCAUGUGUGGCCCCAGGAGUACCGGAACGUCAUCUCUUUAGGAAGAUGGAUGGUGGGAACGCAGGAGGGUCUCGGCUUGCUUAAAAGCAGCCCGCCAUCAAGAGCGAUGCAGCCAUGUAAUACAAUAAUUGAGGAAAAGAAAGUUUUCAUGCAGCAAACACUCCAGUGAUUCACUCCAAACAGAUCCUGGCGUUGCUUCCAGGGUGGUUCACUCACCAGCUUGGAACUCACCAGUAUAAACGGCAGCCUUCUGGUGCAAGACACAUGCCAAGGUAAGCAGGUGCAGCAGAGGGCAAUCUGCACUCUGUUUCUUUCUGCCCAGCAACCGGCAUUCAGGCAACUGAGGCAAAUCCCACCAGGUUCUCUGCCAAUCCCCCUGCAGCCGCUUCCAAGUGAGCUGGCUGGGAUGGAAGGCUCAGCUGGUGACCUGACCACUGCCUUGAGGUUUGCUUCUGUUGUCCGGAGGGUCUGACUUCUCCUGAUGUGUUUUCUGGCUAUCAGAACCCUUUCAGCAACCCCUCUGACUCUGGGCUUGUGGUUCUGUGAUAGUUGCCCCACUCCAGCCCUGCUAACUCACUUGACUCUGCUGGGGGAGGGGUGAGUGGAAGGCCCAGGCACAACAGUGUCAGGAAACUGCAUUGUAAUCCGCUCUCCAGAGAAGAGUUGUCAUUUUAAAGGGAUUUCCAGGUGUGUGUGUGUGUGUGUGUGUGUGUGUGUGUGUGUGUGUGUGAGAGAGAGAGAGAGAGAGAGAGAGAGAGAGAGAGAGAGAGAGUGUAAGGUGGGGGAAGACAACGAUAAGGCUGAGGAAAUUGGAGGGAUAGGAAGAGGAUGAUGAGGAAGAUGAGGAAGAAAAUGGUGGCUGCCAUUUAUUAGUUCCUUCUCUCAUGUCCCAGCUGUGGUGUUGUGAUGCUCUGGUACAUUCUCCUAGGCAACCAGGAUAUAUGUACGUGCUAUCCUUAUCUACCAUGGUCAAAUUAAUCCCCUUUAAAGCAACUCAAGGAAAAUCCUUCCUUCCUUCCUUCCUUCCCUCCUUUCUUCCUUCUCUUCUUUUUUGUCUGAGACAGGUUUCUCCGUGUAGCACUGGCCAUUCUGGAACUUGCUCUGUAGACCAAGUUGGUCUCAAACUCAGAGAUCUGCCGGCCCCUGCCUUGUGAAUGCUGGGAUUAAAGGUAUGUGCCACCACCACCCCAUGUCACUCAAUUUCUAUGGGUGACAUUCAGCAAGUCUUACAAGGCUCCUUAUUCCAGGAAUCCCAUUUUGGGGAAUCUAUAAAAACUCUAGAAUAAUAAAAGUAACACUAGGCAUCACGUUUUGGAUGGUGAGCAUAUUGAGGGGUUUCCACAUGUCGAGUCAGCCCCGAGAGCAGAUAAUCUGAGGACUAGUGGAGAGAGACCUUGCCCAAGACCGGUGCUACCAGGUAGAUCUACACCCCUCGCCUGGACCCUCACAGAGGCCCUGUGUUACAAGGCCGGUGGUGAGAAAAGCAAGACCCAAAGUCUUGCCCUUACAUUCCACGAGGAGUGGCCACAUGUGAUGGAAUGCGCUGUGUCUCCUCAUCUGCCCAGGCUCCUCACCCUCGUCUCUCAGACCACUUCAAUCUGUCCCUUUUCUGGUUUCCUUCAGUGCAUUGGGGUUUCUUCAGUGCAGCAUGGAAGUGUCCAACUCCUUUUCCUCCAGGCACAGUGUUGCUCAAAAACGUGGCCCAAGGGUCCAAUUCAGAAUUAUCUAGGGGAGCGUCUACAAGUGCUGGCCCACUGAAUUGGAAUCCCUGUUCCAGACUCUUGUUGGUCUUCACAGUAGGAGAAAAAAACACACUGGUGUAGCCUCCCAGGAGCAGGGACCUGGCUCACUGUGUCCCCAGCUGAGCACCUGGUGAUAUGUGGAGGAAUUUCCUAGGAGGGAAGUGAGAGUCAGGACAUGUGGAGUGACAGUUGUGGGGUGACUGGAAAGGGAAGAGUGAGAGAGCAUUUGCAGGAGAAUGAGAGGGAGCAGGAACUCUCUCACUGUUUUCUCCAUCCCUUUUCUCCCUCAGACACAUAAUUCAGUUGCAGAAAAUAAUCUUUUGAAACUUGAACUCCAAACGCCAGAAUGAGUAAUUGGGUCUAAAGUGGGUCACGAGGAAGUGAUAACUAACACAGAGACUAUUCUAACUGCUGAAUCAGAAAUCUCCACACCACGGUAUGAAAUACACAGGAAAGGAAAAUAAACAGACGAUAGGAAUGGAAGGAACCCUACCAUAUUAUUUCCACCCACAAAUUCUGACUUAACACACACUCAGGGGCUGGGGAUGCUCUGUUACUCCCAAGAGCUUAAGAAUUGAAAUAAAACAGAUAGAUAAGAAAAGCCCCAGGAGAGGUAGAUGCCACUGAGGAUUGUGCGAGCCUCGCCUAAGAGCACCCUUGAUCCAUGUGUCUUGGUUGCUCUGCUCCACCAGCAGCAGGUGUGCAGCAAAUCCAGAAUACCCUAAAAUAAACUCAUAAAUAAAGACUUAAAAAUGUUUCAUUUCCCUCCUCAUAUAAACAAAACCUACCUCUUUGGGUUUUACUGACUUCACGCACGUGUGUGUGUGUGUGUGUGGGGGGUGGUAGUGAAGAAGGUUUGUGUAGUGCACACGUAAGAGCAUACAUGUGAAAGCCAGAGGUCAAUCUUGGAUGUUGUUCCUCAGAAACCAAAAAAUCUUGUUCUCUCAGACAAGGUUUCUCUCUGGCAGAAGCUUUAGAUGAGUGGUCCAUGAGCCCCAGGAAUCCUCCUGUGUCUGCCUUCCAGGUUGGAGUUACAAGCAUACACUACCUUUGUUGCUGUUGUUUUUAAUUUAAAUGUGGGUCUGGGGGACCAAACUCAGGUCCUUAUGCAUACACAGCAAACACUUUGAGCUAUCACCCCAGCUCCAGAUUUUUUGUGAUAAAUAUAUGUAACUUAAUAUAUGUUAUUAUUUGAACCAUUCUUUUGUUGUUUUUAGAGAGGUUUCUAGGCUGGCCUAGAAUUUGUUACGUAGAGCAAGAUGGUUUGGAACCCACACAGAGCUCUGCUUGCAUUUGCCCACCAAGACCGGAGAGUAAGGCUGUGCACCACCAUGUGCAAUUUCACUCAUUCACGAUUCAUUGACAUGGAACACAUUUCUGGUGUCUCACAACCAUCAUGAUUCUAGAACUUUAUCUGCACAGAAACUGUACCAACAAGCAAUAAUCACUUUCUUCUUAUUCCUAA